rnacentral:rRNA from 1 species
UGGCGGUGCGGGUCUAUAAUGCAGUCGACGCUUCUUUUUCCACCGGAGCUUGCUCCACCGGAAAAAGAGGAGUGGCGAACGGGUGAGUAACACGUGGGUAACCUGCCCAUCAGAAGGGGAUAACACUUGGAAACAGGUGCUAAUACCGUAUAACAAUCGAAACCGCAUGGUUUUGAUUUGAAAGGCGCUUUCGGGUGUCGCUGAUGGAUGGACCCGCGGUGCAUUAGCUAGUUGGUGAGGUAACGGCUCACCAAGGCGACGAUGCAUAGCCGACCUGAGAGGGUGAUCGGCCACAUUGGGACUGAGACACGGCCCAAACUCCUACGGGAGGCAGCAGUAGGGAAUCUUCGGCAAUGGACGAAAGUCUGACCGAGCAACGCCGCGUGAGUGAAGAAGGUUUUCGGAUCGUAAAACUCUGUUGUUAGAAGAAGAACAAGGGAUGAGAGUAACUGUUCAUCCCUUGACGGUAUCUAACCCAGAAAGCCACGGCUAACUACGUGCCAGCAGCCGCGGUAAUACGUAGGUGGCAAGCGUUGUCCGGGAUUUAUUGGGCGUAAAGCGAGCGCAGGCGGUUUCUUAAGUCUGAUGUGAAAGCCCCCGGCUCAACCGGGGAGGGUCAUUGGAAACUGGGAGACUUGAGUGCAGAAGAGGAGAGUGGAAUUCCAUGUGUAGCGGUGAAAUGCGUAGAUAUAUGGAGGAACACCAGUGGCGAAGGCGGCUCUCUGGUCUGUAACUGACGCUGAGGCUCGAAAGCGUGGGGAGCAAACAGGAUUAGAUACCCUGGUAGUCCACGCCGUAAACGAUGAGUGCUAAGUGUUGGAGGGUUUCCGCCCUUCAGUGCUGCAGCUAACGCAUUAAGCACUCCGCCUGGGGAGUACGACCGCAAGGUUGAAACUCAAAGGAAUUGACGGGGGCCCGCACAAGCGGUGGAGCAUGUGGUUUAAUUCGAAGCAACGCGAAGAACCUUACCAGGUCUUGACAUCCUUUGACCACUCUAGAGAUAGAGCUUCCCCUUUCGGGGGCAAAGUGACAGGUGGGUGCAUGGUUGUCGUCAGCUCGUGUCGUGAGAUGUUGGGUUAAGUCCCGCAACGAGCGCAACCCUUAUUGUUAGUUGCCAUCAUUUAGUUGGGCACUCUAGCAAGACUGCCGGUGACAAACCGGAGGAAGGUGGGGAUGACGUCAAAUCAUCAUGCCCCUUAUGACCUGGGCUACACACGUGCUACAAUGGGAAGUACAACGAGUCGCAAAGUCGCGAGGCUAAGCUAAUCUCUUAAAGCUUCUCUCAGUUCGGAUUGUAGGCUGCAACUCGCCUACAUGAAGCCGGAAUCGCUAGUAAUCGCGGAUCAGCACGCCGCGGUGAAUACGUUCCCGGGCCUUGUACACACCGCCCGUCACACCACGAGAGUUUGUAACACCCGAAGUCGGUGAGGUAACCUUUGGAGCCAGCCGCCUAAGUGAAUGAAGUU